UUAGAGAUGCGUUGAUGCCAUUACCUC
rnacentral:sRNA from 1 species